CCGACGGUGAGGGGCGAAAGCCAGGGGAGCGAACGGGAUUAGAUACCCCGGUAGUCCUGGCCGUAAACGAUGCGUGUUAGGUGUUGGUAGGGCCCUGAGCCGUAUCAGUGCCGUAGGGAAACUGUUAAACGCGCCGCCUGGGAAGUACGCUCGCAAGGGUGAAACUUAAAGGAAUUGGCGGGGGAGCACCACAAGGGGUGAAGCCUGCGGUUCAAUUGGACUCAACGCCGGGAAACUUACCGGGGGC
rnacentral:rRNA from 1 species